rnacentral:rRNA from 1 species
UACGGAGGGGGCAAGCGUUGUUCGGAAUUACUGGGCGUAAAGGGCGCGUAGGCGGCCUGCUAAGUCGAACGUGAAAUCCCUGGGCUCAACCCAGGAACUGCGUCCGAUACUGGUUGGCUUGAAUCCGGGAGAGGGAUGUGGAAUUCCAGGUGUAGCGGUGAAAUGCGUAGAUAUCUUGAGGAACACCGGUGGCGAAGGCGGGUCUCUGGGCCGAUACUGACGCUGAGGAGCGAAAGCGUGGGGAGCGAACAGG